AAUUGUUAGCUGUUAAAUAGUCAUUUAAUAAUGACCUGUUUAUACGCUUAUUUAUCAUUGUAAUCUAAUUUUAAAUUUCUUAAUUUUGUUUCGUGAACCUUCACAGUUCUAGAUUAUCUGAACUAAUCCUAUGAUGACAUCAAUUUUUCAUCGUUGGUCACUUUCUUAUCGCAAUCUAUGCUGAUUUUGAUGAAAAAUGGACUCUUAAGUUUCGUUCGACUAUUUAUCGUAGUUGGCUCUAAAAUAUGGAUUUUGUCUUCGGCGAACUUGCAACAAAAAGUAAGAUUAAAUUAUUUAAUGACUGGUCAAACCACGAAGACGAUCUUAAAUUCUUUAUAAUAAAGUUAAAAUUUUGAAUUCAA